UACGGAGGGUGCAAGCGUUAUCCGGAUUCACUGGGUUUAAAGGGUGCGUAGGCGGGCAGGUAAGUCCGUGGUGAAAUCUCCGGGCUUAACUCGGAAAGGUCAACUGAUACUGUGCGACUAGAGUGCGGAAGGGGCAACUGGAAUUCUCGGUGUAGCGGUGAAAUGCGUAGAUAUCGAGAGGAACACCUGCGGCGAAGGCGGGUUGCUGGGCUGACACUGACGCUGAUGCGCGAAAGCGUGGGGAGCAAACAGG
rnacentral:rRNA from 1 species